rnacentral:lncRNA from 1 species
UGAGAACUACGAAUAGUUCCCAGUGGGUUCGGCCGCCGACUCCGCCGAUCUAGCCACUAGGUCUUAAGCAGGCAUAGAGAGAUAUAUAUAUGCAAUAUAUAUAAAGCUAAACUGAACUGAAAGCGAGUAUGUAAAACAGGUCUAUCAAGCUAUGCCUCAAUCUGAUAUCAUGGAUGCAUGAACAAUAAAUAAAGCUGGGUAAGUAAGCAACUAUGAACAAUAACAACAACUAUGAAAGCUAGCUAUCAUGAGCAAUAAUAAUGAGUAUGACUCAAUAGGUAACCAAAUCUCAAAGUGAACUCGUGGUUCAUAAGCAUAACUCACGUGUAAAUCUCAUAGGGAAAGUCUUACUGAACUACUCCCCGAGACCGCCUGCGGACAGCACACUGACCGUCCAAACAGCACACUGACUGUCUCUCUAGUGACCAACCUCCGGAGUGCACAGCUCGUGGGGAGCGACCCCUCCAAGCGCAGACAGGCUAUGUGAGCACCAUUAACUCACGAACAGCAGCAACCUACCCUCUAAGGGUAAUCUUAUCAUGGAAUCAAGGUAUACUUGUACCCAAUCUCAUAGUGUCUCAACUACACUAAUGUUCUCAUAUCAAGGUCAUCAACAAUCAUAUGCCACUCAUCAUAGUUUUCUAACUAGAUGCCACUCAUCAUAGUUUUCUAACUAGAUGCCACUCGUCAUUUAGACUCAU